rnacentral:rRNA from 1 species
GAUGAACGCUGGCGGCGUGCCUAAUACAUGCAAGUCGAGCGAACAGACGAGGAGCUUGCUCCUCUGACGUUAGCGGCGGACGGGUGAGUAACACGUGGAUAACCUACCUAUAAGACUGGGAUAACUUCGGGAAACCGGAGCUAAUACCGGAUAAUAUAUUGAACCGCAUGGUUCAAUAGUGAAAGACGGUUUUGCUGUCACUUAUAGAUGGAUCCGCGCCGCAUUAGCUAGUUGGUAAGGUAACGGCUUACCAAGGCGACGAUGCGUAGCCGACCUGAGAGGGUGAUCGGCCACACUGGAACUGAGACACGGUCCAGACUCCUACGGGAGGCAGCAGUAGGGAAUCUUCCGCAAUGGGCGAAAGCCUGACGGAGCAACGCCGCGUGAGUGAUGAAGGUCUUCGGAUCGUAAAACUCUGUUAUUAGGGAAGAACAAAUGUGUAAGUAACUAUGCACGUCUUGACGGUACCUAAUCAGAAAGCCACGGGUAACUACGUG